rnacentral:rRNA from 1 species
AUGAGCUUGCUAUGCUCACUUGUUGCUGUCCAAUUGAUUGUUCCAGUGAGCGCCGCCGGUGAUGAGGCCGCUUUGCUUGCUUUCAAAGCACAGCUCAGCCAUGGGGACUCGCUGGCCUCCUGGAACACCAGCGCCAGCUUCUGUAGCUGGGAAGGCGUGACGUGCCACCGCAGGCCGGCACGGGUGGUGGCGCUGAGAUUGAAUGGCACCGGGAUUGCCGGAGCACUCUCCCCGGCCAUCGGUAACCUCACGUUCCUUCGGAUGCUCGACCUCAGCUUCAACUCGCUCCACGGGGACAUCCCGGCAAGCCUUGGCCGCCUCCGCCGCCUACGGAGCCUUCACUUGUAUGACAACUCGUUCUCAGGCACGUUACCAGCAAACCUGAGCUCGUGUGUCUCCAUGAUUGACAUGAGACUGGACAACAACACGAUUGGCGGGUACAUCCCAACUGAGCUUGGUGAGAAGCUCACGUACCUGGCACGGAUCACACUGAGAAACAACACCUUCACAGGGACCAUCCCCUCUUCGCUGGCCAAUUUGUCCCAUCUACAGUCCCUCGACCUCUCUACUAACCAGCUCGUGGGCUCUAUCCCACCGGCGCUCGGUAGCAUCCAGAGCAUGCGGUAUUUCAAUCUCGCCCGAAACAAUAUCUCUGGUAUGCUCCCACCAUCUCUCUACAACUGGUCAUCACUGGAAUUUUUGUACGUAGGGUUUAAUAUGCUUUACGGAAGCAUUCCGGAUAAUAUCGGGAACAAGUUCCCCAAGAUGAAAGCUCUAAGCUUGUCUUCUAAUAACUUCAUUGGAGUCCUCCCUUCAUCACUAUCCAAUAUGUCUGAUCUCACAAUACUUGAUCUCUGGAAAAAUAAAUUUAGGGGGUACGUCCCUCCCACAUUAGGGCGGCAUGGAGCUCUCCAACAACUGACCUUGGUUGACAAUAAGCUUGAAGCAGAUGACAACAAGGGGUGGGAAUUCAUAACUUCUUUGGCAAACUGCAGUCAACUAGAGAGGUUGGAACUCGGCAUCAAUUCUUUUCGAGGACAGCUACCUGCUUCAAUUGUGAACCUCUCAACCACUCUCUACGACUUAUACAUAGCAGACAAUAGGGUCUCUGGGGUCAUUCCUACAGACAUAGGAAAUUUGGUCGGUCUCAGAAGGCUUAUAAUAGCAAAUACUUCCAUAUCCGGAGUGAUUCCAGAGAGUGUUGGCAAGCUACAGAACUUGAUAAAUCUAGGCUUGUACAAUAAUAGCUUGGUCGGCCUUAUACCUCCCACGCUAGGAAACCUUUCACGGUUGACUAGGCUUUAUGCAGACAAUGGCAACUUGGAGGGGCCAAUUCCAGCAAGCCUGGGAGAGUUGAAAAACCUCUUUGUACUUGAUUUGUCAAAGAAUUACCAUCUUAACGGUUCAAUACCAAGAGAGAUUUUGAAAUUACAUAGCCUUUCUUGGUAUUUGGACUUGUCAUACAAUUCCCUUUCUGGACUCAUUCCUAGUGAAGUUGGUAGCUUAAUAAACCUUAACCGACUUACUCUAUCAGGGAACCAGUUUUCUGGUAAGAUACCCGACAGUAUUCAAAAUUGCAUAGUGUUGGAAUGGUUAUCAUUAGACAGUAAUUUGUUUGAGGGAAGCAUACCUCGACCAUUGACAUAUAUAAAGGGGCUCAGUAAACUGAACCUGACCAUGAAUAAGUUCUCUGGUAAUAUCCCAGCUGCCCUCGGAAAUAUUAGAAACUUACAGGAACUGUACUUAGCACACAACAACUUAUCAGGGUCAAUCCCAAUAGUUCUACAAAAUUUGACAUCUUUGUCUCAACUGGAUAUAUCCUUCAAUAAUUUGCAAGGGGAGGUGCCAAACAAAGGUGUUUUCAGAAACAUCACUUACUUAGCAGUCACCGGGAAUAUCAAUUUGUGUGGUGGUACAACUCAACUUCAUUUGGCUCCAUGCCCCAGAAGCUCGUUAAGAAAGACCAACAGAAAGAUGCAAAAGUCUCUUGUAAUUUCCAUAGGGACAGCUGGAGCAAUCUUGUUGUCACUUUUAGUUAUUCUUCUUGUUUGGAUACUUGUCAAGAAGCUCAAACCAAGUCAGAAGAGAUUAGAACAAAAAUCAAUUUUUGAUGACCAUUAUAAGAGAAUCUCAUAUCAUGCAUUAUUGAGGGGAACUAAUGAAUUUUCAGAAGCCAACUUACUUGGGAGAGGAAGUUAUGGUGCGGUCUAUAAGUGUGUUUUGGACAAGGAAGAAAGACCAUUGGCUGUCAAGGUAUUUAAUCUUGGUCAAUCUAGGGAUUCCAAGAGUUUUGAUGCCGAGUGUGAGGCUAUGAGAAGGAUACGACACCGUUGUCUCGUUAAGAUCGUUACUUCUUGUUCGAGCGUCAACCACCAAGGUCACGAAUUCAAGGCAUUGGUUUUUGAGUUCAUGCCAAAUGGUAACUUGGAUUGUUGGCUUCAUACAAAAUCUCAAGAGCCCACUACAAACAACAGGCUCAGCCUCCUCCAAAGGCUUGAUAUUGCUGUUGAUAUCAUGGACGCAGUAGAAUACCUGCACAACUACUGUCAACCAUUGGUGAUCCAUUGCGAUCUUAAGCCAAGCAACAUACUUCUUACCGAAGACAUGAGCGCACGAGUUGGAGACUUUGGCAUUUCAAGGAUCCUUCAAGAAAAUACAAGCGAGGGAAUGCAUACUUCAUAUAGCUCAACUGGAAUUAGAGGUUCCAUAGGCUAUGUUGCUCCAGAGUACGGAGAAGGCUCCAUGGUCUCAACAGCUGGUGAUAUUUAUAGUCUUGGCAUAUUGCUGCUUGAGAUGUUCACCGGGAAGAGCCCAACAGAAGGAACAUUCAGAGAUUUAUUGGAUCUGCAUAAGUUUGUCGAGGAUGCUCUUCCAGAUAGGUCCAUGGAGAUAGCUGACCCAACAAUCUGGCUGCACAACGGAAAGAAUGUUAACACUACCAGUAUUAGAAUGCAGGAGUGCUUGGUUUCAGUCUUCAGGCUUGGCCUCUCAUGCUCAAAGCAACAGCCUCGAGACCGAGCACUGACGAGAGAUGCAGUGGCAGAGAUGCACACUAUUAGAGACGACUACCUCAAGUUUAUAGCGGAGCAUCAAGGACAAUAG